rnacentral:rRNA from 1 species
CCUACGGGAGGCAGCAGUGAGGAAUAUUGGUCAAUGGACGAGAGUCUGAACCAGCCAAGUAGCGUGAAGGAUGACUGCCCUAUGGGUUGUAAACUUCUUUUAUAAAGGAAUAAAACGAGGCACGUGUGCCUUUUUGCAUGUACUUUAUGAAUAAGGAUCGGCUAACUCCGUGCCAGCAGCCGCGGUAAUACGGAGGAUCCGAGCGUUAUCCGGAUUUAUUGGGUUUAAAGGGAGCGUAGACGGGUUGUUAAGUCAGUUGUGAAAGUUUGCGGCUCAACCGUAAAAUUGCAUUUGAUACUGGCAGUCUUGAGGACUGUUGAGGUAGGCGGAAUUCGUGGUGUAGCGGUGAAAUGCUUAGAGAUCACGAAGAACCCCGAUUGCGAAGGCAGCUUACUAAGCUGUGACUGACGUUGAUGCUCGAAAGUGUGGGUAGCAAACAGGAUUAGAUACCCGGGUAGUC